AUUAUUUUCCAUUUUGUUGAUUUUAUAUGUGAAAAACAAAAAUUCAUCAAAAAAUAUACUAAGACAGAAAACUUUUUUCGUUUUCUUAAAACAAAGGAAGCUCGAUUUUUAAUUGACAAAAGAGUGAAUCCAGAAAAGCUUUCAUUAAAUUUUCAGAGACACACACGCACAUAAAGAAGUUGCAUAUAACACCCACUAUAGACAAACAGAAUUAAGGCAAUGUGAAAAGGAGAAAAGGGAGUAAAAUGAGACGCAACAAGACGAGGAAAGCAGAAAACUGCAAGAGUGAAAUGCGAUAAGGGAAUUGGGUUUUUUUUUGCGAGAAGAAGAAGCACUCUUAUGAGAGAAAACUUGGCUCAUAGCUGCCUCUCUUUCUCGCAAUCUCCUCCUCAAUCUCUCCUUUUUGUUUGUUGGCCUCAGACUUGGCAAUGCAUUCUAUAAGGCUGCAUCAGGAUUUGCAGAUUCAUGACGAGCUGCUAACCGAAAAUGUCAUUUAAGCCCUACGCAUUAUGUGUGCCAAUUUGUGUGUGAGUGUAUGUGUGUAUGUGUGUGUGCGUGUGUGUGUGUUUGUGUGUGUUUGCUGCUUUGCCAGUAGGCAAAGUGAAUUUGCUUAGCAAGGCGGAAAUCAAAUGCUUGCCUAGGCACAAGCAAAAGCACAAGCAAAAAGAACCUUCGUCCAUAUUGCAUUUGUAUACGAGGAAACUCGAACUCUGUGAGCGAGUUCAAGGACUACUACAAAGGACUACAAAAGCAACUCUUUCGCCGGGCUAAUUGCAAAAAAAACAGAAAGAGAGGGGCCAAUUAUUUGUAUUGUUUGAACUGCGACUUCUCAGACACUGAACUUGCUGAAAGGCAGCGAAGGCGUGUGAACAGCUGCUUUGAGCAAAAUCCACU